AUUUUGCUCAUCAUUCCAUUCGUCGCAUAAGGACGAGGCGUUGCGUAGUACCAUUUCUUCCUCUGCUCUGCUUUGCAUUUCGCUGAUCCUUUAGAGUGAUACAAGCUAAGAAAAAGCUUUGCGAUUCCGAUUAGAGUGAGAAAUAAAAAAAUGGAGAGAAGCAGAGAAUAGGAGAGGAAACAAAAUCUUGAAAAAGAAAAUAAAAAAGGAAAUGAAAAUGAAAAUGGAACAGUAAAAUCAUGUAAAGGAUUCCUUUUUUACUCUUCUGCUCUCAAAUCCCACAAUCGCGACCCUCUUUGCAUCGGCAUUCCUCGAUCUCUUCCUCAAGUAAAAAGCCAUAAUGUUGGACUAGCUGAGGUAAAAGCUCAUAGAAAUUCCGCUGUUGUUGAAGAUUUUUCAUUUGUUUGCGCUGGAUACUCUUUGUUUAUGAGCAAGAAUGAAGGUUCAAUUACUAAGGAUGGCACCAAACCUCAAUUGCCUCAUUGUCGUGGCCUAGCGGUGGCAAUCUCUCUUUCCCCCUUUUCAAUGAAAUUUGCACUUAAUUCAUCCACAAUGCCUCUUUGUUUAUGCAUCCGGGGUUUAGGUAGUUUUGAUUCGCUAUGCAAGCUUGGGUUGGUGGUCCAAAAAUGUUUGUAUCCAGUGUUUUCUUGAUUUGAAGCAUCAAAUUUUGUUACAAUUAUUUAAAGAAAUCAUGGACUUUGAUGCAAAUGAAGUAAUGGGGUUAUCUGGUUGUGGCUUCAAUUCCAAGUGACAAAUUCAUCUCUUUGGGCACUUUUGAUAAA